CACCUGGGGAGUACGGUCGCAAGAUUGUAACUCAAUGGUAUUGACGGGGGCCCGCACAAUCGGAGGAACAUGUGGUUUUAUUCGAUGAUACGCGAGGAACCUUACCUGGGCUUAAAUGCAGAGCGACGUUCCGGGAUACCGGAAUUCCUUCGGGCGAUCUGCAAGGUGCUGCAUGCCUGUCGUCAGCUCGUGCCGCGAGGUGUCGGGUUAAGUCCCAUAACGAGCGCUACCCUUAUCGUUAGUUGCCAGCGGGUAAUGCCGGGGACUCUAACGAAACUGCCGGUGUUAACCGUGAGGAAGGUGUGGAUGACGUCAAGUCAGCACGCCUCUUAUGUCCAGGGCUACACACGUGUUACAAUGUCCGAUACAAAGGUCAGCUACCUGGUGACAGGGUGCUAAUCUCGAAAAUCGGUCUCAGUUCGGAUUGAAGUCUGCUACUCGACUUCAUGAAGCUGGAUUCGCUAGUAAUCGCGCAUCAGCUCUGGCGCGGUGAUACGUUCCCGGGCUUUUACACACCGCCCGUCAAGCCAUGUAGCUUGGG
rnacentral:rRNA from 1 species